rnacentral:rRNA from 1 species
GACGAACGCUGGCGGCGUGCUUAACACAUGCAAGUCGAACGGAAAGGCCCUGCUUUUGUGGGGUGCUCGAGUGGCGAACGGGUGAGUAACACGUGAGUAACCUGCCCUUGACUUUGGGAUAACUUCAGGAAACUGGGGCUAAUACCGGAUAGGAGCUCCUGCUGCAUGGUGGGGGUUGGAAAGUUUCGGCGGUUGGGGAUGGACUCGCGGCUUAUCAGCUUGUUGGUGGGGUAGUGGCUUACCAAGGCUUUGACGGGUAGCCGGCCUGGGAGGGUGGCCGGCCACAUUAGGACUGAGAUACGGCACAGACUCCUACGGGAGGCAGCAGUGGGGAAUAUUGCACAAUGGACGGAAGCCUGAUGCAGCAACGCCGCGUGCGGGAUGACGGCCUUCGGGUUGUAAACCGCUUUCGCCUGUGACGAAGCGUGAGUGACGGUAAUGGGUAAAGAAGCACCGGCUAACUACGUG